GGAUCCGAUGGCGGCAAAACAGCGUCCCUUGAGGGAGACGGGGAAAAAUGGCGGCUGAGGGAGCCGCUUCAUACUGUGGGGAGAUGAAAGACCAGCGGAGGAAUGGUUAUGGACGUUACAUUUAUCCCAACUCCUUUUUCAAGUACGAAGGACAGUGGAAGCAAGGGAAAAAACAUGGACAUGGGAAAUUACUGCUCAAAGAUGGAAGUUAUUACGAAGGUGAAUUUGUGGAUGGAGAAAUUGUUGGCCAUGGACUCAGAUACUGGGCAUCAACAGGAAAUACUUAUUCCGGCCAAUUCCUCUUCGGAGAACUUCACGGGCACGGAGUUUUCCAUUAUGGCAAUGGUGGCAGAUAUGAAGGAGAAUUUUCUUACGGGAUGAGAGAAGGCCAUGGGUCACUGACGGAGAAGGAUGGGGAGACUUACCAAGGAAGCUUUCAUGACAACAAAAAACACGGAGGAGGGAAAAUGACAUUCCCAAAUGGAGAUAAAUUUGUGGGUGACUGGAUCCUGGAUCAAAGACAAGGCCACGGAGUUCUUCAGUGCUCUGAUGGAACCGUGUAUGAGGGACAAUGGAGAAACGAUAUGUUCAAUGGACAAGGCUGUAUGAUCCAUUGUUCGGGCGUCAUCUAUGACGGCCUCUGGCAUAACGGCUCCCCUCUUGGGCAAGCGAAGACAAUGGCGAUUAUAGGGCCGGAGGUGAUAGACGCAAGUCUAGGAUCGGUUCUUACUUUUCACAUCCAGCUGCAGACCGAUAACGGAGAGGUUUCUAAAAGCGAAAGGGGUCGAUUGCUGGAGAUUACGGCCAGGAUCAAAAAGAUCACCUUACCCGAAACCAGCUCCCACGAAUCGUUGGAAGCCACCGAGAAGCAACAUUUUUCGAAGUUUGGGAGUCCCAGUUACCCUUUGAAGUUGGUCAGGUCUGCAAGCCAAUCCCUGCAAAGCGUUUCCCUAGUUGUCAGCAAAUCAGGACACGCCGGGCCUGAAGCGGUAACCUCCCACGAAAAAAAGCCGGGACUUGAAACAAAGGACAAAGGAGGAAGCUAUUGCUUCGGUUUACCCCGUCUGCAAAGGAGCAAGCAUGGCCUGGUCACUUUCAGAAAUAUCCCCCUCGCCUUUCUUCUGGUCCCUGAUCCACAGGCUGGCCAGCUGCCUGAGAGAGAAGUUGAAAGGCAAAGUGCCAGGGCCUCCACGGAGCAAAUGGAAGCUUCCACCUCGUUUAUGGUCAGACGUAGCAGAUCAGGAAUAGCCACCGAAGGAUGGAAGUCCAGGGUGAAUGAAAGCUCGCCAAACCUCACACCACCUCCACCAGGAGAUUUUCCAGGCAGCAGAUCAGGAAGAAAAAAAGCGCAGAGGAACAGAGCUUCCAGGGAGGCAGCAGAGCGCAGAGUCUUUUGCGGCUAACCGUCAAGGGACCGUGCCAGGGUUUUCCGUAGCUGGCUUUUCCCUUGGCUCCCCUCCACGGCAGUUGAACUUGUGAGAAGGAAGGAAGGAAGGAAGGAAGGAAGGAAGGAAGGAAGGAAGGAAGGAUCUUAGCUUUCAGUAAGUAAACACAUUUUCUCUCUUUCUCUUUACCAUCCAUUAACACCCUAGUCGAACCUGCAGACUGUUAUGUUCCACAUGAAGAAAAAGAAAAGGCCAACACCAGCCUAUUGGGACCACCCAAUUUUUUGGAAAAAAAGAUUCCCACGUUGGCUGGGGAAUUCUGGGAGUUGCGGUCCACAACAUCUUAAAGUUGUCAAGAUGGAGGGGAAAACACUGCUUUAGCCUAAUAAAGACAGCGAUUAUAGUUCCAUUAGAAUUUGCUGUUUAGCUGAAUCAGGAACAGGAAGCCACCCUAUAGGUCUCACGCACACACACCGUCCUCUCAAGUUCCCUGUCAAUCUUCUCUGUUCCCCCCCCCCCAUCACUUUUGAACCCGUUAAAGUGGGUGUGAAACUGGCAGAGCGUUGAGUUCAAUCCUGAUUUGAUCACAUCUGCUCCAGAAGGGAAUGAUUUAAGGAUGGUUGUUUUAUUCGGUUGAUUGUUCGAUAAAUUCACCCGGCCUCCAGAGUGCUGGAAAAGCCCAUUGAAGCUGCCUCUCUGUGUGUAUUUUGGUUUCACACCUAGGCAAGAGUUGGCAUAAAUCCUCGCACAUUUGUGUCGUAAAGGUGUCUGCGAAACAGAUGUUAGACUGUCUGCAAAAGACCGCGCACCUUUCAAAGCAGGAAGGGGAGGUGAAUGGCAGUGCCAAGUCUUUGGGGUUGCCAGUCCUUGGGAGUUUAAAUCAGACAAAACCAGCCAGGAGCUUCUCAUUGCCUCUGAGAGAUGCUCAGUGGAUUAAAAUCGUACCCCUACUCCUUUUUGCAGCCUCCCAACCAGCUGAAUCUUCUGCAUCUCAACCAGAGGUGGGUUUCACCGGUUCGCUCACACCGGCUGAAAUACCACCACUGAUCUCAGCCCUACCAAAAUGAUACCCAGGUCUUGGCAGUGACUCCCAAUUCUACCUCCCGCCAUUAUUCCACCUAGGUGGGAAGAUUGGCACUGUCUAUCUCAGCUCCCAAAACUCCUUGGUAGUUUUCAUCCAGGUUGACAGAACCGAAUCCUUAUUUAAAUGAACUUACGGAACUCUCCGCCACCAGAUUUCUCAAAAGGGCCGGGCAAAUCCAUGUAUGCCAGAUGAAAAGCUCUGUGGGACAAUUUUGUAAUGCGGUGUAAUCAAAAUGUUAAGCGCCUUGUCGGAUUUACACGGCUGACUUAAGAGGUGCCGGAUUAUGUGAAAUUUUGCUGGGUUCCUCCAUGGGCCUCUCUUCGUAGAAUCGUUUUCAAAAAAGCUUAAUGAGAAAAAGAAGGUGGUCGUACUUAUUUCCCUCUCCAUUUUCCGAGCAAGGAGUAAAAUCCCCAAACAUUUGGAGCGAGGUCUUUGCUUCGUUGAACUUGUUUCUUGAAAUAUAUUAAGUUCAUUUUCUGUGAACCACAAAAAUUCCUUCCUACCUUAGAAAGUCGUAAUAAUCGAUUUACACAAUUUUUAAAAAAUGUAGUUGCAGAUUAGAACAUGUCCUGGCUAGGUGGUUGUUUAAGCUUCUGUUGAGUCACCUCCAUUGAGAAUCUCAUUUUUGGGCGAGGAAUACGAGACGCCGUCUUACUUUUUCUUCCCACCAAAAGACUUAAGAGAUUCACUGCAUUCGAAUUCCAUAUAUUAAAAAAAAAAAUUUCCAUCAAGAUGUCCAUGUCCACUUCUCCAAAGGCCAGUAUUCCAAUUCCCCUGGCAACAAUCCCCAAAAAUUGGCUCUUAAUUCCGAUUUCAAAUUUCUCCUAGUCAGCGGUGGGUUCCACAUAUUCUAUCAGUUCGCCCCAUGCGCACGCUCGCCUCACGUGCACGCGCCUGGCCUCGAAAAUGUGGCUAAAUAGGACGGCAUUACAUCCACCCGCAGUCGCUGCUAGCGGUUCGCUCGAACCAGUACGAACCAGCUGAAUACCACCUCUGUUCCUAGUGCAGAGAAAUAUGUUUAUUUUUCGCCCCUUAUUAUGUUGCCGUUGUAACUUCGAAUGGUCAUUUAAGGAACUGUUGUAACUCAAGGACUACCUGGAUAGUCUUCCAGGUUCAAGAAACACCCAUUUAUUGUUGACUCCCAAUUUUUAUACCCCGAAAUUGGGGUUUUUUCUGAAUCACGUGGAUUACUCAAUUGGUGAGAUUAUGUAAACUUUAAUAGUAAAAAUAACAUACUUUUUACGGGGUUUGGAAUUUAUUUUUUCCGGACAAUUUUAUUAGCGAUAAUGAGUCUAUACACUGUACAUAAAGUCACUGAGACGUUAUUUAUAAGCAUAGCUAUUUUUAUACAUACUUUGAUAAAAGUCCUUUAUGUUACAAUAUUCUCUGUUUCCAAGUUGGGGGAAAAAAAGGGAAAGAUAGGGCGAAGAGUUACCAAUUUCUUUUCCCCUCUUUUUCUGUCACUCAAGCAAGCACAUUUAAUUACAUAAAAAAUUAAGUCUAAAACAGGGAAGGCAUCGAAUUGUUAGCAGCAGCGGUGAGACAGAGGCAAAAACGUGCUCAAUUUUUUUUAAAAAAAAAAAUCUAUUCAAAAAUUGCAGUUUUGAGUCCCUCCGUUGAAACUGGAAUUAUUUUGUUUCUUCUUUUUUUUAAAAAAAAAAAAUCUCUCGUACGUAAACUGCUUGAAUUAGAGAAGGAAAUCUCCAUUUUAUUUUAUUUUAUUUUAACCAUAUAAUACAAUGAAGCAUGACUAUAUAAGACGCCAAUAAAGGGACCAAAGAUUUUAACCGACGUCGAAAUUCCAAAAUAGAUUUGGUUAUUUCUUGGUGGUGGGGCUUUAUUAGAUCCUAACAAAUUUCAACCUUUCUUCGAUUUCAAAGCGUUGAGUUGUAAAACAAAGCAGCUCAGGAAGAAGAAGGAACAGAACCUCAAAAAGUGAAACUCCAUAUACACUUAUUAUACAGCUAGAAAUGAAGUAUUUACAGUGUUUUAUGCUUUUAUUUUACAUUGGGUAAAUUCCGUUUGAAAAAGGAGAUUUUUUUUUUUUAAAUCGUUCUUAGCUGCUCCGUAGACAUCAAUGUUUUAUUGCUGUUGGUAUAUAUAUAUAUAUAUAUUUUCCCCAUCCCCGCCCCUUGUUAAAAAUGUAGCUGGGUAUGUCUUUAAAAAUUGAAUUAAACUGCAUAUACAAUA